AAUUUACUUUCUUUCCCAUUCAAGCAUAUAAUUGGCAUGUAAACUAUGAUUACUUUAAAAAUCAAGGCUUAAUAUCUUUCAUAAGCUUGUAAGCUAUAAAUUAAGGUUGAAAUCUUUAUAUUCGAUGCCAAACAAAUAUUCAUGUUCAUAAUUAACCAAAGGAACAAUGACCUUUUUUUUGUCAAAAAGGAAUAAUGAC
rnacentral:lncRNA from 1 species